GCCUGGGUGGCUCAAUCGGUUGAGCAUCCGACUUGGAGUCAGGUCAUGAUCUCCCACUCAUGGGUUCGAGCCCCACAUCGGGCU
rnacentral:tRNA from 1 species